UAGUAACCGAACGGAUCGCAUUAUAAUUAUCAUUAUUUGAUGAUUGGCGAUAGAUCAUUCAAGUUUCUGACCUAUCAGCUUUCGACGGUAGUGUAUUGGACUACCGUGGCAGUGACGGGUAACGGGGAAUUAGGGUUCGAUUCCGGAGAGGGAGCCUGAGAAACGGCUACCACAUCUAAGGAAGGCAGCAGGCGCGCAAAUUACCCAAUCCUGACUCAGGGAGGUAGUGACAAGAAAUAACAACACUGGAAAUUUGAUUUCUAGUGAUUGGAAUGAUGGGAAUCCAAACCCCUUUCAGAGUAACAAUUGGAGGGCAAGUCUGGUGCCAGCAGCCGCGGUAAUUCCAGCUCCAAUAGCGUAUAUUAAAGUUGUUGCAGUUAAAAAGCUCGUAGUUGGAUGUCUGUUGGAAGCAAUCAUCAGUCCGCCCUAUUUGAUUAGGGUGUGAAUAUGAUGAAUUCCGGCAUAAUUGUCUCCCUAUUGUUAAUAUUCUGAUUGUUAGAUUCAUUUCUAACAAUAAUACGAUUAUUAAUAAUAAGGGGGAAAUGUUACUUUGAGAAAAUUAGAGUGUUUGAAGCAGGCUUUUGUUGCCUUGAAUACUGCAGCAUGGAAUAACAAUAUAGGAUUUCGGUUCUAUUUUGUUGGUUCUUUUUUUAGGACUGAAAUAAUGAUUAAUAGGGACAGUUGGGGGCAUUCGUAUUUAACUGUCAGAGGUGAAAUUCUUAGAUUUGUUAAAGACGAACUACUGCGAAAGCAUUUGCCAAAGAUGUUUUCAUUAAUCAAGAACGAAAGUUAGGGGCUCGAAGACGAUCAGAUACCGUCGUAGUCUUAACCAUAAACUAUGCCGACUAGAGAUAGGAAAUUGUCAUUUUACUUGACUUCUCCU
rnacentral:rRNA from 1 species